rnacentral:rRNA from 1 species
AGAGUUUGAUCAUGGCUCAGGAUGAACGCUAGCGGGAGGCUUAACACAUGCAAGUCGAGGGGCAGCACGAGGUAGCAAUACUUUGGUGGCGACCGGCGCACGGGUGAGUAACGCGUAUGUAACCUACCCUGUACAGGGGGAUAGCCCGGAGAAAUUCGGAUUAAUACCCCAUAAAGAUAUAUAGUGGCAUCACUUUAUAUUUAAAGCUCAGGUGGUACGGGAUGGGCAUGCGUAACAUUAGCUAGUUGGCAGGGUAACGGCCUACCAAGGCUGCGAUGUUUAGGGGUCCUGAGAGGGUGAUCCCCCACACUGGUACUGAGACACGGACCAGACUCCUACGGGAGGCAGCAGUGAGGAAUAUUGGUCAAUGGGCGCAAGCCUGAACCAGCCAUCCCGCGUGCAGGAAGAAGGCGCUAUGCGUUGUAAACUGCUUUUGCAGGGGAAGAAUGUUCUGUACGAGUAUGGAAUUGACGGUACCUUGUGAAUAAGCAUCGGCUAACUCCGUGCCAGCAGCCGCGGUAAUGCGGAGGAUGCGAGCGUUAUCCGGAUUUAUUGGGUUUAAAGGGUGCGUAGGCGGAUUGAUAAGUCAGUGGUGAAAUACUGCAGCUUAACUGUAGAAUUGCCGUUGAUACUGUCAGUCUUGAGUAUGGUUAAGGUAGGCGGAAUGUGUAAUGUAGCGGUGAAAUGCUUAGAUAUUACACAGAACACCGAUUGCGAAGGCAGCUUACUGAGCCAAAACUGACGCUGAGGCACGAAAGCGUGGGGAGCGAACAGGAUUAGAUACCCUGGUAGUCCACGCCGUAAACGAUGAUCACUCGCUGUUAGCGAUACACUGUUAGCGGCUAAGCCAAAGCAUUAAGUGAUCCACCUGGGGAGUACGACCGCAAGGUUGAAACUCAAAGGAAUUGACGG